UACGUAGGGUGCAAGCGUUAUCCGGAAUUAUUGGGCGUAAAGAGCUCGUAGGCGGUUUGUCGCGUCUGCCGUGAAAGUCCGGGGCUCAACUCCGGAUCUGCGGUGGGUACGGGCAGACUAGAGUGAUGUAGGGGAGACUGGAAUUCCUGGUGUAGCGGUGAAAUGCGCAGAUAUCAGGAGGAACACCAAUGGCGAAGGCAGCUUGCUGGGACGGUACUGACGCUGAGGCGCGAAAGCGUGGGGAGCAAACAGG
rnacentral:rRNA from 1 species